UACGAUACGAGUUUGAUCAUGGCUCAGAACGAACGCUGGCGGCAGGCCUAACACAUGCAAGUCGAGCGAACCCUUCGGGGUUAGCGACGGACGGGUUGGUAACGCGUGGGAAUAUACCCUUUGGUACGGAAUAGCCUCGGGAAACUGAGAGUAAUACCGUAUGUGCCCUUCGGGGGAAAGAUUUAUCGCCAAAGGAUUAGCCCGCGUUGGAUUAGAUAGUUGGUGGGGUAAUGGCCUACCAAGUCUACGAUCCAUAGCUGGUUUGAGAGGAUGAUCAGCAACACUGGGACUGAGACACGGCCCAGACUCCUACGGGAGGCAGCAGUGGGGAAUCUUAGACAAUGGGCGCAAGCCUGAUCUAGCCAUGCCGCGUGGACGAUGAAGGCCUUAGGGUUGUAAAGUCCUUUCAGAUGGGAAGAUAAUGACGGUACCAUCAGAAGAAGCCCCGGCUAACUCCGUG
rnacentral:rRNA from 1 species